rnacentral:lncRNA from 1 species
GUAAAUAAAACUACAGAAUUGAAAAUGACUGCGAAAGAAAAAGAGAAGAAACAGAAAAACUGUUGAGAGUAUGAAAUGUAGCCGACACUCUCCAUAAUAUUUAUUGUAGACUAUAGUAAAUAUUAUAGCUAUAGUAUUUAGAGUCUAGUAGAUAAGAAUUGUUUAUCCUCUCCCCUUUUUUUUCUUGUAUAUGAGACAUAACCAGAUCAAUAGAUUUUUAUGUGUGAUGCUCUCUCUCCUUAGAAAUCUUCUUGUGUAUAUGACUUACUACUACUCUUGUUUGUAUGUAUUACUUACUACUACUUUUGUUUGUGUGUAUUACUUACUACUACUCUCAUUUGUGUGUAUUACUUACUACUACUCUUGUGUCUUUCUAAAUAUUCUCAAUACGUUAUCAGCACGACUCUCUUCUACAUACUAUCACAAUUUUUUUUUUGCUCUAGACUUGACUAUUCAAACCUAUUGCUAUUCUUGCUCAGUAUCUACCUCAUGACCUUGCUGCUCUUCUUGCUAGCCCCUCACACAUUAACUACUUGCUUAGAUCACUUGUUUCACUCUCUGCCCUACUUGCUUAGAAUACUUGCUUAGAAUACUUGAUUCAGCCCAGCUCCAUACUAGCUUGCUCCCUACUGCGCCUUAUGCCAAACUGUCACGGACACAAAAUACAGACUUGAAAUCUAACAAGAAGUUCAAGAAGAAGUGACAGAACUAGAUUAAAUAGAUGAGUACAAGAACAACACUAGAAAGGUGAGCUAGAACUCCAAGAGAUGUG